GCAAUAUUUGUUGGUAACAGGGUGCUUGGUUUCCAUUGUAGGUUUAAUGUUGUUGUUUCAGCUCCUUCCUCUCAUCUUCCUCAUUGUUUCCACCUCCUCACCAUGGGUUUGAGACCAAUUCAACUUUCUCCUCGAUGUAGUCAUCAUAGCCCAUUCUAAAGUCUCAACCAUCACAAUCUUCACCAUGGGAUUGUGGUGAUUGCGAAACAACAAUUGAGACUUGAUAUACAAAGUGUUUAUGGACGACUGAAGCACUUAAAGCGAUUUCGAGGCCAUGAUUCAAUGGGUAUCCUCCAUCACAAUCUAUGCCGCACCCUGCAAUGCAUUUGGCUGGAUUAUAGAGAGCUUCCAGCCAUCAAGCAGGCUCACAUUAGAGAGCAUGAGGAAGAAGUAAAACUUCUUUAGAACCUAUCACAUCC